rnacentral:pre_miRNA from 1 species
AAAAAAAUCGGUCCGUCGCUCUACCGAGCAGUAUCAACCGCUCGGUGGAAGAGCUUCCUUAUAUCGU